CGCGUGAGUAACCUGCCAUACACAAGGGGAUAGCCUUUGGAAACGAAGAAUAAUACCCUAUAAAACCAUAAAAGCACAUGCUAGAAUGGUCAAAGUGAUAGCGGUGUAAGAUGGACUUGCGUCUGAUUAGCUAGUUGGUGAGAUAAAAGCUCACCAAGGCAACGAUCAGUAGCCGGCUUGAGAGAGUGUACGGCCACAUUGGGACUGAGACACGGCCCAG
rnacentral:rRNA from 1 species